AAUUAUAUAAAUUAUUUGUAAAUAUAUAUAUGAUAUGAAUCAAUGUACAAAGGUAGUCCCGGAUGUGUUACGACUCCAAUGUCACGGAUCCCUGGCCUCGUGAUUCAGGUAUUCGUGAUUCUUUUUUCGGUUCGCUGUAUGUACAUUUACCAUGCCCGACAAGAGAUAAUUCGUUUUCGAAUCAUCCUCUACCUCUCUCUUCGAAUGCGAGAAAAGAAAGCCGCCGUCUAAUUGUAAUU